rnacentral:rRNA from 1 species
GACGUAGGGCGCGAGCGUUGUCCGGAUUUAUUGGGCGUAAAGAGCUCGUAGGCGGUUUGUCGCGUCGGAUGUGAAAACCCAGGGCUCAACCCUGGGCCUGCAUUCGAUACGGGCAAACUAGAGUAUGGCAGGGGAGACUGGAAUUCCUGGUGUAGCGGUGAAAUGCGCAGAUAUCAGGAGGAACACCGGUGGCGAAGGCGGGUCUCUGGGCCAAAACUGACGCUGAGGAGCGAAAGCGUGGGGAGCGAACAGG